rnacentral:rRNA from 1 species
UGGGGAAUAUUGCACAAUGGGCGAAAGCCUGAUGCAGCGACGCCGCGUGAGGGAUGACGGCCUUCGGGUUGUAAACCUCUUUCAGCAGGGAAGAAGCGAAAGUGACGGUACCUGCAGAAGAAGCGCCGGCUAACUACGUGCCAGCAGCCGCGGUAAUACGUAGGGCGCAAGCGUUGUCCGGAAUUAUUGGGCGUAAAGAGCUCGUAGGCGGUUAGUCGCGUCUGCUGUGAAAACUCGAGGCUCAACCUCGGGCUUGCAGUGGGUACGGGCUGACUAGAGUGCGGUAGGGGUGACUGGAAUUCCUGGUGUAGCGGUGGAAUGCGCAGAUAUCAGGAGGAACACCGAUGGCGAAGGCAGGUCACUGGGCCGCAACUGACGCUGAGGAGCGAAACGCAUGGGGAGCGAACAGGAUUAGAUAGCCCUGGUAGUCCAUGCCGUAAACGUUGGGCACUAGGUGU